AUGUCGUCGAUCUCGUGCUCCGUAGCUGUCCCGUGCCGCGCCAACUUGUCCAAGAGCCUCGCCGUCAACGUCUCCUUCGCCUGGGUACUCUUAAUCAAGCGGGAACACGCCCAUCAUCGCCUUCUUCGCCGUCUUCUCUGCCACGGCCACCACCGUUUGUCAUCAGAUUCGCCGAAUUCUGACCACACCACGCUCCCUAACCUCGUCCAUGAGCUCUGUGCCCCCGAGACCGAUGUCGCCCCUGUGAUCGACUGCGUCGACGACGACACUUCUUCCUUUUCAGCAGAGCUUCCAGAUGGUGGAGUCCAGGAGCCAGAUGCCACCUUUGACGACUACUACUACCCCGAGGGUGCCUACUACUACGUGAAGACCGCCGACGACCAGGAGUAG
rnacentral:rRNA from 1 species